GGGUUUGACAGGCGGCGGCCGGUUGGAGCCCUGCUCGGUCUGCGGCUCUCUGGCCACAGACCCCGGUUGGACUGAGGAGUGGCGCAGCGGGAGGGAGAGUCUGGGCACUAUACCGACAGCCAGCAAGCUGAGCGUCCACGGAGCCCGGAUCGACCCGGCUUCCUCCCCGCCUCUCCCAGUGGCCUCGGACAGGAUCCAUCACCUCUGCAGGUCGGGUUUUCCCCGGGUCUAAAGAGAACGCCACAGAUGCGAACGCAGAGGUAACAGAUAUUAAAGUGCUUGACAGUUUUCUUGCAGAAUCCAACCCGCUCUCGGAGAUUUAUAGCGAGUCAUCAGCAAAGCUGGGACCCAACCCAGGCCUCACAGCCCACUUUAUCACGUUUUGCUUUUGUGGCACGUGUUUUCCACUGGUCAGAGUCCCUUCAGGCAAUAGGGUCUCAAAGUGCCUCUGGGGCCUGUACCCAGUUCCUCCUGCCUUCUGGGCUCCUGCACAUACAGCAGUGUCUCAGGGGGCCCUGCCCAACAUACAGGAAGAGCACUGGACAAAGAAUAAGACGUCCCAGCUGAAGGUAAAGCUCAGUGAGUAAAGCACUUGCCUUAUAUGCGUGAGGCCUGGAUUUCAUCCCCAGACCAAAAGAAAAGAACAAAUAAACAAAACCCUUCAUCAUGACUGGAAGCAAUGGCUCAGAUCCCCUUCCUGAGCCUCAGUUUCCUCCUGUGUAAAAUGGGAUUGUUCACCAGGCCUGGCCUAUCUGCAAGAGCUACUGAAGAAUCCAGUGUGGACCCUGAAAUAGUCUCUAAUGUCAUCUACCCUCCGGCUUUGUCCAGUUUGCUGGUGAUGAGACUUGUCUGACUUGGCACUCUUUUUGGGUCUGGUCUGUUUGUCCUUGGUCUCAAAUUGAAAAAUGGAUGUGAAGCUUCUUACUACUGCAAAAGUGAGAUUUACAGCAUAGGCUUCUGCAUAGAAUGAGACACACCAAGCAGCAUUCCCAGAAUCUUGAAAACCAGGAUGUUAGAACCAAAAAUCAUAAGAUUUAAUUUCCUGUAAUUUAUUAAACGUAGUGGCCUACAAAGAGGAAUAAUAGUAAGAACAACCUUGGAGUUUUAGUUACACUCACCCCUACAUUUAAAGGAGGGAUGAUGUGUGCCUGGCUGGCAGCAUCAUGGUAGGGUAUGGCAGAAUGAGCAUCAAAAUCCGGGCUUCCUGACUCCCAGUCCAGUACUAUACCACUCAUGCUGCCUCUUAUAGGAACAAGGGCUGCACGAGGCAUCUCCAGGAUCUUGCCUGUCUAAGGAUUUGGAGCUGGGAAUUGCUGCUACUUUUUAUGGCAGGAGGAGAAAAGAGGUAGAAAGAAGCAAGAGUAGCUCACUAACCACUAACCAGUAGCACUCUCUAGCUCUUUCUUUCUCUCUUCUGAGGUACCAGUACUGGCUCUACUGCCAACAGUUCAUGUGGCUUUAGCCAAAUCAUAACCUCAUACUAGUUCUCGGUUUCCCCUCAAAGGUAAGAAGGUUGGAAGAUCUUUGAUCUUUUCAGUUCUGCCCUUCAGUGAGGCCAGGAGCUGAGUCCUCUGUCCUCCCACCCCCAACACACACACACACACACACACACACACACCACUGAACAUUUAGUCUGGACUCUGGAAACAUUUACUGAAUGAGUCACUUAACCAACUGGACUUGCAGGCAGAGACUCUCCAAAUUUCCAAAUGCAGCAACAGUUCAUUCAGUUAUACUGUACUGCACACCUACCCUGGGCCAGCCCACUACCUGCCUUUCCCUAAGCAAACUCACAGGUCCAUCCUACCAGUACAGAUGGCUUAUGAGGCCCAGCAAAGCAAUGAGAAGGUUAAUAUGUUCAAUACAAUAAACCUCUUAAACACAGUAUAAGGCAGUGUCCCUGUGGGGAUAUAUGGGAUUCAGCAGAAAUUUGGUUUUCUUAAACACAGGAAAUUGUUUACAAUGAUUAAGGAUGGAGCAAGACCUGAACUUUUCCUUUUUUAAACUUUUUCUAAAUUGCUUGUGUUUUCUAACAAUACAUACUAUCAUCCUUCCCUUCCAGCAGGGGUUGUUUGAACAGUGGAAUUAUGGGUUAUAUUUUUUCUUCGUAUUUUUAGUAUUAAAAUUAAGUUCAUUAACAUUUUAAUUGUCAAGAACAAAACAAAGCAAAAUGAAACCCACUUCUCUGAAAUCUGUUUUUACACACGAAAAGUAUGAGUGGGUACAAGGUCGAGUUUGACAAAAUAUAAGAUCAGAGUUUCUGUCAGACAGAUAAACUAUUGCGGUAGACCUAAGUGGACGGUUUGAUUUAUGGUAAAAAAGAAGAGAAUGAAACAGGAGUGUGGACACAAGGAAAGACCCACUUACCGAGGGACUGGUUCAGGGAGUUCAGUCAUUAGACUUUCAAUAUAGGAUCCGAGGAAGAGAGGGUGUGAGGGUUUAGACUAAACAGUAUUAGGUGGAUUGUGAGGGGGAGGAGAGGUAGGAGUACAAAUAGGACUAAGAAGAGUGACGGAGAGAGGGGGAGAAAGAUGAUAAUUAAUAGAUAAAAUGUGAGACCAGAGGGAUAACUAGAGGUUUUGUAUAUAGAGUGGUAUCAUGAAGGGACAUGACAUGGUUACCGAAGGUUAUCGGUAGAUGCAAAAGAUUGGGAUGGGAGUUGAGUUAGGUACAAGGUUCGUGGCCCCUUAUCAAAAGUAGAGGAUCUUGGGUCUUGAAUAUAAGAACAGAAGUCUUGACACAUAGACUCCGGAGGACACGAUUGUGAAAGGGGCGAAUAGGUGGAACGUAUAAGGACGGGUAUUCAGUAAAUUAUAGGCCUAGUUCACAGGGAAAAGGGGGUCUUCGGAAGAGACUUAGGAGACCGAUUUUAGUAGAAGAGUGUGUGAGAGUCUUGAGAUAAACGAACUCAGAUAGAUCUUGUAUAGUGUGACAAAAGAUUCACGGAUAAAUUGUUAGGUGGAGAUCUGACUCGAUACCCAGGGCAGGGAGUAGCCUUUUGCAUGUGUACCUCCAAAACCUAGCAGAUAUUUUUGCACAAAGUCAGGAUGAGGCAAAUGUUUGCUGAAUUAUUGGAUCAGUUACCAAAGAGUGAUCACUACUUUCUUUGCUUGCCUGCAUUUCUAUGUAAGUGCUUCCUCUCGCCAUCUUUGUCCAGGGGUGUUUUAGUCAGCUUUUGCAACCAAGAUACUCAACAAAAACAACUUAGAAGAGGAAAAGUUUAUUUUGGCUCACUGUUUCAGAGGUCUUAGUUCAUAAACAGCCAACUCCGUUGCUCUAGGCCCAAGGUGCGGCAGCACAUCAUGGGGGAAGGGCCCUGCAGAGGAAAGCAGCUCCCCUCAUGGCAGUAAGGAGGGAAAGAGAAGGGGGGGGGGGGGGAGGAGAGAGAAAGAAAGAGAGGGGGCUGCAGGGCGGAUGCACCCUUCUAGGGCAUGCCCCUACUGGCCCAUCUCCUCCAGACACACACACACACACACACACACACACACACACCCUGCCUUCAGUAAGCACCUCAGCAGGUCUUGGUUACUUACCUGGAGGGUAACCUACACCUUGGUCCCACCUGGAUUGGGUUAUUAUAGUUCCCAACUAACCUUAAUAACAGGACAUGGUCAUACCAAGAGAUGCCUACAGGAUCUCCUGAAUUCUAGGCAUACUCUUCCUUCCCUCCAUUGUGGAGAGUAGUCCAAUCUCCCAUUGGUAAUCUAGAUCAAUCUCCCCCACCAAUACCAAAACUCCCUUCUUAGCCUGUUGACUGAGAAGCAUGAGGAGCCCAAAGCUGCCGGGGGGUAGUAUUGACUUCCAGUUCAAUAUAAGUAUACGUUGGGCAAAUAGCUGAGGUAAAAAUAGGUAUUUCUGUCUCAGGUCUCCUGCACCCUGGAGACAGAAGAAAAAGGAAUGGAGGCGAUGAAUGUCAUACUGUUUACUCUGAUACUCUUUCUUGUAGCAAGGCCCAACUUUACAUUCAUUGUGCCAGAUACUAUGAUCCUCCCAUAUGUGAUCUUAUUUAAUCCAGACAAGACCACUGAGAUAAAGAGGUGACUGCCCCAAUUUUAUAGGUAAGAAAGUAAAAGUACAAAAUUAAGUGAUUUGCCAAAGUUCUCACAGUUAAAAGUGCCUGGCUCCCAUACAUCUGUGGCCAACUGAUUUUCAAUAAGAAUGCCAAAACCCCUUGCUGAGGAAAGAGCAGGCUUUUCAACAAAUGACAGUGGGAAAACUAGAUAUCCACAGGCAAAACAAUGAAGUUAGACUCCCCUAUCUCAUACCAUAUACAAAGAAUAAUUCAGAAUGGACUGAUGAUCUAAAUAUAAGAGUAAAAACAAUAAAACACUCAGAAGAAAACUUAUGGGUAAAUCUUCUUGAGUUCAGAUCUGGCAAUGAAUUCUUUGAUGGCACCAAAAACAUGAGCAACAGAAGAAAAAAUAGAUAAAUUGGAUUUCAACAAAUAUGAAAACUUUUCUGCAUUAAAGACAUUAUCAAAGCAGUGAAAAGACAACCUAGCUGGGUGUUGUUGUGCACACCUGUACUCCCAGCUACUCAGGAGGCUGAGAAGAAUUGCUUAAGCCCAGGGAUUCAAGACCAGCCUGGGCAACAUAGCAAGGACUCACCUUAAACAUACACACACACACACACACACACACACAAAAUGAGAGAAAAUAUUUACAAAUCACACAUCUGAUAGGGGUCUAGUAUCUAGAAUAUAUAGAAAAUCUUGGAUGGGUGCUGUAAAACAUUCAUUUGGAAAUUCCAUAGAAUGGCUUCUUUCAAGGUUAUGGCCCUGGUGCUGUCAGGCUGAGGGACACGAACAAGUCACCAUCCCUGGAUCCUGAAUACCACACCUGUCAAAUAAAGAUAUCUGACCUAUCAGGGCUUCCAGAGAGACUCAGUGAAAAGGUAGAAAAUAUAAAUCAACCAGAAAAACAAAGAUAAUGAUUGAUUAUUAAUGAAGUACCCAACUAUUUCUUGCACUAUUUCUAGUAUUCAUCUUACAACAACAACUUUUAAAGACAAAACGCUAGAGAAUUCCAAUAUGGAAUGGUCACAAAGGACCACCAAGGAUGUUUUAAAUAAAAAUUUAUAUGAGAAUAAGAACCAAUUUAAAUGAGGAAUAGAAGGAAACUUUCUCAACCAAAUAAAGCAUAUCCUUUUGUACAAAACCAACCAAACAACAAAAACACCAAAACCUACAGCUAACAUCACAUAGUCACCUCUACAUUUAGUAUAAAGACCUCUGAAUGCUUUCCCCAGGAUCAAAAACAAGUUAAGGAUAUCUGUUUCAUAUUCUGAUUCAAUAGCAUCCUGGAAGUUCUAGCAACUUCAGUAAGGUAAGAAAAAGAAUAAAAAAUAUACAGGCUGAAAAGGAAGAAAUAAAACUCUCUAUUGGCUGGUGACAUGAUUGUCUACAAAGAAAAUCCCACAGAAGGGCUGUAGCUCAGUGGCAGAGUGCUUGCCCUGCAUGCGUGAGGGACUGGGUUCGAUCCUCAGCACCAUGUACAAAUAAGUUAAAAAAAUAAAUGUCCAUUGAUAACUAAAACAAUGUUUAAAAAAAAAGAAAAUUCCAUGUAAUCUCUAUACUCAAAAACAAAACAAAAACCUCCUAGAAGUAAUAGAUGAGUUUACCAAAGUUUCAGGACACAAAUUUAAUAUUUAAAAAUCCGUAGCAUUUAUUACCAUUGCACUGAAAAAUUCUUAGAUGCAAAUCUAACAAAAUAUUUACAGAACCUGUAUGCUGAGAACUACAAAACACUAAAGAAUGAAACUAAAAAGGCCUAAAUAAAUGCAAUGAUAUACCAGGUUCAUAGUUUGAAAGACUAAAUGUUAUUAUUAUAACAUUUAAUUAAUAAUAAUUAAUAUAAUUUCUUAAGAUGUCAAUUCACCUUAAAUUUGCCUGUAGAUUUAAUACAACUUCAAUCAAAAUCCCAGUAGGAUUUUUUUAAAGAAAUAAUAACCCAAUUCUAAAAAGCAAAGGAACUAGAAUAGCCAUUUAAAGCAACAAGCUAGAGGACUCCCAACCUGCUUUUAAAACCCACUGUAAAGCUAUAUCAUCAUGACAGUGUGGUGUUGGCAAAAAGAUAUAUACAUAAACCAAUGAAAUAGUGAGUCCAUAGAUAGAUCCACAUAUUGGCCACAAGAUUUUUGUCAACAUUACAAAGGCAAUUCAGUGGAAGGAUACUCUUUGUGUGUGUGCCCGCGCGCACUCGCGACAUGCACAUGUAUAUGCACAAUAUAUGCUGGGAAUUGAACCUAGAGGUGCUCUAUUACUGAGCUACAUCCCCAGCCCUUUUAUUUUGUAUUUUGAGACAGAGUCUCACUAAGUUGUCUUGAACUUGUGAUCUUCCUGCCUCAGCCUCCGGAGUCACUGGGAUCACAGGCAUCCAUCACCAUACCCAGCACAAAGGAGUUCUUGAAGUCUUGAAGGAGAUGUGUAGACCCACAAAACCUCCUUAGAGUGGUCAGAAGACAAUGGCUAGGAGUGUAAGAAGGAAGAACCAAGUUCGGCCUUCCAGAGCACUCUACAUUCUCAUCCAAUGAUAUUGCUGCCUGAGACUCACAGAGCUUCUGACCACUGGAAUUAUACAAAUGGAUGCAUGACACAAGGCCCAGACCAUUAGGGAGAAAGACUCCAUGCUGAGAGGAUGUGAAGUGGGAAGGGAGAUUUCGAGGGCCAAGGAAGCUUUCCUGUGGAGGUGAUGGCUAAACAAGAACCAAAGAGGAUGAGAAGCUAUUGGUUGCUGAGCUGAGGAAAAGCUUCCACCAGAUAACAGUACGCAGAAAAACUCAGAAACUCAGGAACUGAGUUCCCUUCCAGGCAGUGUGACUGGAGCUGCAGAGUGAGGGACAGGAGGGCACCAAAGGAGACUGGGGAAGGGAACGUGCGUGCUGGGUCCUGAAGGCACUGAAGGAUUUCAGGGAGAGGGACAUGAUCAGAUCUGUUCUAAAAACAGUCUGUCAACUGUCGUGUGGAGAACCAACUGAGAAAGAGGCAAGAGUAGAUGCUGGAAGAAGAGGCAGAAGUCCAAAAGAGAGCUGCUGAGGGGUCUGGACUUGGUGUCAGAGCUGUGGGGAUGGGCAGAAGGGGCUAGAAGGCUGCUUUACUUAGGAAACAAACUGGACACGCCUGGGUGAUGGGGAUAAAGGGACAUGAGAGGCUGGGUGUCUGGAAGAACAGUGGCUUUAGAGUUUGGAACUUCCCCUGGGUGGCCCAAGGCAUUCUUUGUCUUUAGUAGUGGUUUCCAGAAGCAAAGAAGAUGUCACAAUUACCAGACUCCUAAGUUAGACCCCUUCCUCCUGUUCAUCACAUGCAAUUGCUUUUCUAUACAAAUUUUAAUUGGUUUUCAACAGAAUCAGACUUAAUAGAAAAUGCACAUCAAAUGCUGUUAAUGAAGACAAUAAGAUUUUGACAGCUUGCAAAAUUGUGAGGGACAAUGUGGGUUAUCUGUAUAGAAGGGGCCUGCUGAGGAAGCACUCAGUACCAUGCCCUGGGAGGUGUUCUGGCACACGUGACUACAUAUACACAUUCAACAGACAGCAAUCCUAUGAAGAGGGAAUACUGUCCUACUAUAGAUGCUGGAAAUGAGAUCCCAGGAUGUUAACUGACUUGCCUGAGGUCUCAAAGAGGGCAAGUGGAAGAUUCAGGGUUCAGCCUUAGGUCUACCUGACCCCAAAUGCCACCAUCUUUCCAUUGUCACCACACCUUACCUUCAGCUGAACUGGACCCUUCCUCUCCUUCUGUAUAGAAGGCCUUCCCAGCUGGCCACUCUCAUCCCAGUCUGUCCAGGUCUCCAAAGGCAUGCUCCAUCCCAAUCAAACACCAAACAUACAGAGCCCCUAUCUUACUGUCUCCUGAGACCACCAUACUCACUGUCCCUCUCAGAGCACUUAUUUUCUGUCAUAUUGUUACACACUUAUUUGUGGAUUUACUGUAUUCCCAAUAAGAAGCUAUAGAGUCCUUGAAGGCAGGGACUUCAUCUGUGUAUCACGGAUGUUUAGUGGUUUGUGGAUUCAACAGGUCAAAAAGUUAGAAAAUGAGGUCAAACAAUGCAUCCAUGAGCAAAAACAGAACAGCUGAUUAUUCAAAUUUUUAUUAAUUUUUCCCUACCAAAUAAAUAGCAAGUUCAUAAAAAUAUUAUAUAGAUUCAUAUGCUUCUUUUCAGGCACAUAAGAAAGUCUUCUAGACUUAUAUGCAGAAAGCACUCUAAAAAACUGAAGAAUGAAGCUGACUUCAUAAGUCAUUUUGAAAUGAAUCUUCCAAUUGACCGGUGAGUCCUUGCUUCCCCAAUGUUGAAGAAUAACACCAGGGAAGCACGCUGAGGCAAGGUCAGAGUGGAAAAUUAGAAGUUUAUUAAAGGACUUCUCCAGGAGGAAGAAGGGGACCCAAGAGGUGGAAUCCACUGAAGGGCAUUGAAGGGCAAAUAUGUUCCCCUUUUUAUAGUUUUUGGUG
rnacentral:lncRNA from 1 species